rnacentral:rRNA from 1 species
UUGGAGGGCAAGUCUGGUGCCAGCAGCCGCGGUAAUUCCAGCUCCAAUAGCGUAUAUUAAAGUUGUUGUGGUUAAAAAGCUCGUAGUAGAAGCUCGGGCUCCGGCCGACCGGUCCGCCUCACCGCGUGCACUGGUUCGGCCGGGCCUUCACCUUCUGCGGAACCGCAUCUCCUUCACUGGGGGUGUCGGGGAAACAGGACGUUUACUGUGAAAAAAUUGAGUGCUCCAGGCAGGCCUAUGCUCGAAUAGAUUAGCAUGGAAUAAUGGAAUAGG